AUUGAACGCUGGCGGCAGGCUUGACACAUGCAAGUCGAGCGGGGGAAGGUAGCUUGCUACUGGACCUAGCGGCGGACGGGUGAGUAAUGCUUAGGAAUCUGCCUAUUAGUGGGGGACAACAUCUCGAAAGGGAUGCUAAUACCGCAUACGUCCUACGGGAGAAAGCAGGGGAUCUUCGGACCUUGCGCUAAUAGAUGAGCCUAAGUCGGAUUAGCUAGUUGGUGGGGUAAAGGCCUACCAAGGCGACGAUCUGUAGCGGGUCUGAGAGGAUGAUCCGCCACACUGGGACUGAGACACGGCCCAGACUCCUACGGGAGGCAGCAGUGGGGAAUAUUGGACAAUGGGGGGAACCCUGAUCCAGCCAUGCCGCGUGUGUGAAGAAGGCCUUAUGGUUGUAAAGCACUUUAAGCGAGGAGGAGGCUACCCUAGUUAAUACCUAGGGAUAGUGGACGUUACUCGCAGAAUAAGCACCGGCUAACUCUGUGCCAGCCGCCGCCGUAA
rnacentral:rRNA from 1 species